GCACGAAGUUAGCCGGUGCUUAUUCUUUGGGUACCGUCAUCCCUACUGGUUAUUAACCGGCAGGAUUUCUUUCCCAACAAAAGGGCUUUACAACCCGAAGGCCUUCUUCACCCACGCGGUAUGGCUGGAUCAGGCUUGCGCCCAUUGUCCAAUAUUCCCCACUGCUGCCUCCCGUAGGAGUCUGGACCGUGUCUCAGUUCCAGUGUGGCUGAUCAUCCUCUCAGACCAGCUACGGAUCGUCGCCUUGGUGGGCUUUUACCCCGCCAACAAGCUAAUCCGACAUCGGCUCAUCUAUCCGCGUGAGGCCCGAAGGUCCCCCACUUUCACCCGAAGGUCUUAUGCGGUAUUAGCGUAAGUUUCCCUACGUUAUCCCCCACGAAAAGGUAGAUUCCGAUGUAUUCCUCACCCGUCCGCCACUCGCCACCCACAGUAUUGCUACUGCUGUGCUGCCGUUCGACUUGCAUGUGUUAGGCCUACCGCCAGCGUUCACU
rnacentral:rRNA from 1 species